rnacentral:lncRNA from 1 species
UUACAUCCAGUACCUGCCUGUGGAAUAAAGAAAAAAGAACAUAAAAUUUUUGCUCUCAGAAAUCGACAAACGCCGGUGACGGUGUGACGGUGGUGAGAUUCCGGUAAACAGCCUGGGUCUUUUCUUCCUCUUUCUAAAUCUUCAAGUAUUUUCAUUUUAAUUUGUUUUCUUAUUGAUGCAUCUUAGUUUAGUUUGUUAUUCGCUCUCAGAAAUCGACAAACGCCGGUGACGGUGGUGAGAUUCCGGUAAACAGCCUGGGUCUUUUCUUCCUCUUUCUAAAUCUUCAAGUAUUUUCAUUUUAAUUUGUUUUCUUAUUGAUGCAUCUUAGUUUAGUUUGUUAUUCGCUCUCAGAAAUCGACAAACGCCGGUGACGGUGGUGAGAUUCCGGUAAACAGCCUGGGUCUUUUCUUCCUCUUUCUAAAUCUUCAAGUAUUUUCAUUUUAAUUUGUUUUCUUAUUGAUGCAUCUUAGUUUAGUUUGUUAUUCGCUCUCAGAAAUCGACAAACGCCGGUGACGGUGGUGAGAUUCCGGUAAACAGCCUGGGUCUUUUCUUCCUCUUUCUAAAUCUUCAAGUAUUUUCAUUUUAAUUUGUUUUCUUAUUGAUGCAUCUUAGUUUAGUUUGUUAUUCGCUCUCAGAAAUCGACAAACGCCGGUGACGGUGGUGAGAUUCCGGUAAACAGCCUGGGUCUUUUCUUCCUCUUUCUAAAUCUUCAAGUAUUUUCAUUUUAAUUUGUUUUCUUAUUGAUGCAUCUUAGUGGUUAUUCAAAUUUACAAAACACAUAGUUAGUUCAAAUUUUCUUGAUUUGACUCCUCUCCUUUUGUUUAGUUUUUAUGCAUUAUGCAAUCAAUAUUAUAAGUGAGCUCAUUGAAUUUACAUUGUUGGCAUAGAUGAUGCAUAAUCAAGGAUAGGGAAUUAAAUAUUUUAUUUUUUCCUAAUUCAAAAGAUUUUUCUCACACGUUCCAAAUUGAACUUUCUUCCCCCAUUCACUUCUCUUAUUUGUAUCAACAUUCAAACCACAAAUUUCUUAGAUGUUGCGAUGUUAUCUAAGUCAGGUAUGUGUUAUCAUUUGUCAUUUUUUUUGUUGAUUUUAUGGAUUAAGCUGUAGAAAUGAGUUGAUUUUUGCUGUAUUAUGGUUAAUUAUUGAUUAAUUAUUUGAAUGUGUGGAUUUGUUUGGAUGGUUGUUGAUUUUUAUGUGAAUUUCAUAUCUGAAACAUGGUGUUGCAUGUGUGAUGGUAUGUGAAAAUUGGGGGUUUUGGUGGAGAGUGUUUGAAUUAAGGAAUUCUAAUGGAAAUUAGUGUAGAAAAGGGAAUAAUCACCUUAGAUGAAGAGAGUGGUAAGAGGAGUAAUCACCUUAGAUGGAAAAAAGUGUUGGUUUAAGGUAGUCCACAUUGAAGAUGAACCAAUUGUUCAGUAUGAAUAGAUUUAGUUUAGUUCUAACUUCACUACAAUCACUAUCUUACCAUCAGAUCGCUAAUCGCUGAACGAAAGGGCAUCUUCUUCAUUCUACAUUCUAAAUUCAUUCAAUUCGUAAUUUAUUUCCACUAAUUAUAUCUCCACAUUUUCAAUUUUCUUUUGAAUGUUUUUUUUUAAGAUUAGGGCUUUUGUUCGAGAGAUCAAAUUGGCGUAUAGUCCAAAAUUCUUAUUUAAUGGAGGUCGCAGCCAGCGUCGCGUCCUCACGUUGCGUUUCUCUUCUGAUGCCUUCUUUACAGUUUUCCCGGAAAGAGUGGUGCGCUGUUUCUGAACAUCCUGUUCGAAACUCUGGCGACGAGGUAAUCCUUCACUCAACUUGCUUGCAUUGUUUCUUUUUUUCUCUUUAGUCUUAGAUGUUAGGUUGUUAUCUGUUUAUCUAUAUAUCUUGAGGUUUAAAUAAAAAGUUUGUGUUAUAUAGGAUUUGGAGCGAUUUAAGUUAGGGCGAUUGGAUGAGAGAUUGACAUAUGAGGUAAUGCAUGUUCCUUGAGGUCUUUGGUCCAUCUCUCCAUCGAUCCACUCUCUGCACGUUUCUGUAAAUACCCAUCAUCGCCGAAAUUUCCAUUGCCACUGAAAUUACCCUAUGGCUACUGCAACUGAUAGUCGCUACUUUGAAUAACUUCCUUAAUUUCUCAAAUUUGGGAACCGCUCUGUACACAUAGGUCUCUUAUACUUCAUGGCCCUUGCUGCCCUCUCAUGCUUACAUGCAUAACUUUUGUUGAACUUAGUAUCAGAAGGGUAGUGAGGAGCAAUUCAAUUUCACGAUCACAAAAAAGGACCAUCACAAUCUUUGAGUUCCAAAGGUUAACUCAUUUAGAAUUGUUUAGCUUCUUGAUUAACUUUAUUGAUGUUUAAUUUAGCAUAUAUGUGAAAAUUAUUUUCCCCCUUUUCUUUUUAAAAUUUUUGUUUUUUUUAUGGAUGAUUAAGUAUUGGAUUUUUUACCUGGGUAUUUUUCAUUUUUUACUAGGAUUGGUUUUUGUAGAUUUUGUAGUUGGUUUGAAAAAAAACUCAUCAAUGUUGGUUAAUAAAUGUGUUCUAUCAGCAGUUGGUUUAUUUGGAGUGCUGACUCCUAUUGUGUUAAUUUGAAGUUAAUUAGAUUGUGCAUAUAGUUGUUGUAGUUUAUUUUAGAUGAUAUAAUGUGUGUUCUGAAAUCUGAUGCAAUAGUAUGAGAUGAAGAUCCAGAAGCGGUUCAUUGAAGAUGGUGAAUAAUGUCAAUCUAACGAAUCAGGUUCUUUCGACCAAAAACCUCAUUGAAGCCUCUCUAAUGGGUAACAACUAUUUCUUUGAUGGGUGUUUGAAUCAAUUAAAAAAGCCAUUUGACGGAAUUUAUUUAAUUUUAGCUUAGAAUUAGUUGGUUUUGGUCAGAUAGUUUUAUACCUCACUGAAGCCUCUCUAAUGGGUAACAAACUAUUUCUUUUAUGGGUGUUUGAAUCGAUUAAAAAAGUUAUUUAACGAAAUUUUAUUUAAUUUUAGCUUAGAAUUAGGUUAUUUUGGUCAGGUAGUUUUAUGCUUUCUUUAUAAUAUUUUUAGUUUUUGUUUGGAUGCUGGAAAGAUCAAGUGAGGAAAAGAAACUGAAAAAACGAAAGGAAAAGGUAUUCUUAAUAAACUCAAGGAUGCUAUAAAGAUCAAGUGAGGAAAAGAAACUGAAAAGAAAGAAAGGAAAAGUCUUUCUUAAUAAACUCAAGUAGAAUUUUAUUAUGUACUACUAUCAUAUAAAAAGUAUAACUGUAUAAGUAAUAAUGCUCAAAUUUAGUGUAAUGGACUGUAGAUAAAACUCUUAUAGCUUUAACAUUUCAUUUUCUUUUCUACUGUCCUUUCUGAUUUUUAUUUGAAGGGUUAUCUCUAUGUAAAAGUAGGAGUAAGCUUUGAGCCGUGAAAAAUUUGGUAAUUUCAGUUGUUAAGUUUUAAAAUGCUAAUUUAUAGCUUUUUAAUUGUUACAGUAGCUUAUGAUCCCCCCUCCCAAAAAAUAAAAAUAAAUUACUUUUCUGUAUAUCAUAAUAUGUUCUGAAUGUGUUUAUAGAUUUAAGAGUUUUCUUUCAAAANNNNNNNNNNNNNNNNNNNNNNNNNNNNNNNNNNNNNNNNNNNNNNNNNNNNNNNNNNNNNNNNNNNNNNNNNNNNNNNNNNNNNNNNNNNNNNNNNNNNACUUAGGAAAGUAAUCUACUACAUGGCCAGAAUAGUUUAAAAACAUUACAUUUGGGUUUAAAAUAAUUCGAGGACCUCAAUUUGUGUAGUUGGUAUAUAGAGAACAAAUAGCAGAAUCAUGUGACACAAGUCUUGGCGAUUAUAGUUUCUUUUCCUUGAAUUUGAUGAAACAUUUUAUAAAUAUUGAGUGUUAUAACUAUUACUUACUUUGGCUGACUUGGUACACUGUAAGUGUUUGAAAUAUUGCCACGUAGAGUUUGUUCUAAAUGCUAUGUGAAUCUGCAGGUCUAUAUCCUUUGCUAAAUUUUUUUUGUUAUACUUUAUUUAUUUCAGUUAUGUCAAUAUAAAUCCUAACUUUGCAUCGCUGACAAUUUUGUUCUGAUUAGAAUGCAAUAUGAAGUGUUAUGGGGCAUAGAAGUUCUAUAGAUUAACUAAAUAUAUCUUUAAAUCAAUUGGCUUAGAUUGCAGUUGGCUUAAGUUCUUAUUUCAAGGUAGGACUGUAGGUGUAAGUCAAUUAAUCGAUCAAAUUAUGUUUCCUUCUAAUGGUUCAUAGCUCGAAAUUAAGCAAGCUUGAAGGUAGGAGCUAGAAGGGAACUAAUGUAUAGUUAAAACCUCAUAAUGCCAGGGGUAGCUUGAGCAUUAUACAUUCAUAUGUUGUCUUCAGUAAUUGAAAAUAUGGGCUCACUCUGUUGCAAACACUGACACGAUCCAACUGAUACUGGAGAAAAUGUUCACGUAUAGAUGCUUGAUGUUUUUAUUGUUUGCAUUAUUUUUUGUAGUCUUUGUUAUAGUAACUCAGCAAAUCUAUUACACUAUAUGUUCAUCUUCUCAUUUUAUAUACCGUAUAAAGGCUUAACUUUAUUUUUUAAUAUAAACUUUCAGACUGCAGAGAUAGAAAUGCAAAAUAAGCUAGAAACAAAGGCGAAGAGACAUAUACAAAAACGUCUAUUACUUGGUAUAUGUUCCUCAAGUUGGGAUUUUCACUAAGUUAUACUUUUUAUUAUUGUAUUCUUAUUUAUUUUCAUCGAGCUCAAUGUACUGACCUGAUAUCCCAAAUGCACCACUCCUUCCAUUUGCUAUGUUUUUUCAAACUGAAAGUUACAGAUUGAUGUUUACUAAAUCUCGCUUGCUUCGUAUUGCACAAAUUCUUCUCAGACUUGUCGUUAAACUUCAUGGAUUUCAUGUUUUUGUUGUUGGCAAUUCAACAAAUAGUUGAAUGUCAAGUAAUAAAUUUCAUUUUGCAUCUCAUUGUGUUUUUAGACCCUUGAAAAAAUUUCAUUAAUUUGUUAGGUUGAAUGAAACUUAUAUAUUUGAUUGAGAAGGAGAGGAUGUUGCUACAUAGUAUUUGGAAUCAUUUAAAUCCUUUUAUCCACAUUGUCUAAUGUUCAAUCCAUAUAUGCCCAUUAAUUUUGAGAAUUUUUUAUUCAAUUUCAACUAUUAAUUUUUUGUUAUUUUAAUGCCACAUCAAUUGCAUCCUUAGAAUCUCAUUUUUAUUUGUUUAUUUACUUGAUUUGCAUGCUGCAGGUGGUUGCAUUUGUUACAUUUGGAAAUCAUUAAUCAGCAAUAGCGGCUUUGCAUUCACUAAAUAUGAGAAACAAUUAGUAUUUUAUAUUUUCAAUAUAUUUGUCAUUUUGUAAACUUUACGUAUA